ensembl:antisense
UGGUGGACAUGCAGCGAGGCCUACACAGAGCGGUACAAACGGGCACAUGCAGACGGAAUCUCGAGACUCAUUCAUAGCUCCGCCCCUCCAAGGCAGCGUGCAAGGCCUGAUUGGUGCACCACGUUCGGGGUUGGGGCGGCUGCAGCCCUCCUGCUUGCUCUGAAACAAUGGAGUGGAGAGACACUCAUCAGAAAGGACACAGCGCGCUGCUGAGAGUCGAGGGACGCUCAUGACUCAGUUACUCGAGAAAAGAAAAAAAGAAAAAAAAGAAGAGGAAUGUUGGCAGAAGACUCGUUGGGUGUUGUAGUCACCACCGAAAAAUCCCCAGCUCUGGGACAUCGGUGUUGGCAAAGAUAGACUACCUUGUAAGCCACUCUGGCCGGGCACUUCUUCCCCAGACCCAGGGGCGGGGACAUGUGUCUCAGCAUCUGAUACAUGUCCGGUUCAGGAGGAGGUGACAAUACAGCCAGAAGAUCUGAGACAGUUCCUUACCAGGCAGCAGGGUCAUACUCUGCCCAGACACGCACGUAUUCAUCCAAGUGAUGGGGGCCCAGGAUGGAAGAAUCUCGGUCCCAUUUUCUAGGGAUUCAUUGGCUUGAAUCAGUGCCAGGGGUGAAGACAUGGCCCUCCGCGUGUGCAGACUCACCAGAAACGAGCACAGGAAGAUGAACGAGACAAAGUAGAAGUACGCGAACUCGUUGCCGCAGUCUGCCGUGAGGAUCCCAGAGUUCUUAUCGCACGGCUUCCCGCUGAGGCAGGAGAGCAUGAUGUUGUGCCACGCUUCUCCUGUGGCGCUCCUGAGGAUACGCAGCGUCAGUGACCUGGGCUCUGGCCCCAGAUGGACACUACUGCCUCCCUAGAGGGGUAAGGACUGAGGCUCUGGGCUAGCCAGUCACGGGUGGGCUCAAGGCCCAGAGGACUAUCUUCUUUCCCUAGGUGCUCAAAGUGCCAUGUUCAAGCCUGGUUAUGCCUUAAAUGUCCUCGGGGAGGCAUCAGUGAGGUACCUCGGUACAAGGCUUGCUCACCUGAAUUUGAUCCUUGGGACCCACAUUAUAAAAAGGGGAGAAGUGACUCCCACAAGUUGUCCUUGAUCUCUGCCUAUGUGCCAUGACAGGUGCACCCACACCCACUAAAACUCUAUGCAUGUAAGAAAAAUAAAGCAAGCACUGAAGUGGUGGGGCUGGGAUGUCUGG